rnacentral:rRNA from 1 species
AACGAACGCUGGCGGCAUGCCUAACACAUGCAAGUCGAACGAGACCUUCGGGUCUAGUGGCGCACGGGUGCGUAACGCGUGGGAAUCUGCCCUUGGGUUCGGAAUAACAGUGAGAAAUUACUGCUAAUACCGGAUGAUGUCUUCGGACCAAAGAUUUAUCGCCCAGGGAUGAGCCCGCGUAGGAUUAGCUAGUUAGUGGGGUAAUGGCCUACCAAGGCGACGAUCCUUAGCUGGUCUGAGAGGAUGAUCAGCCACACUGGGACUGAGACACGGCCCAGACUCCUACGGGAGGCAGCAGUGGGGAAUAUUGGACAAUGGGCGCAAGCCUGAUCCAGCAAUGCCGCGUGAGUGAUGAAGGCCUUAGGGUUGUAAAGCUCUUUUACCCGGGAUGAUAAUGACAGUACCGGGAGAAUAAGCUCCGGCUAACUCCGUG